UACGUAGGGGGCAAGCGUUGUCCGGAAUCAUUGGGCGUAAAGAGCGUGUAGGCGGCCCGAUAAGUCCGCUGUGAAAGUCCAGGGCUCAACCCUGGAAUGCCGGUGGAUACUGUCGGGCUCGAAUCCGGAAGAGGUGAGUGGAAUUCCUGGUGUAGCGGUGAAAUGCGCAGAUAUCAGGAGGAACACCGGUGGCGAAGGCGGAUCUCUGGGCCUUACCUGACGCUGAGGCGCGAAAGCUAGGGGAGCAAACAGG
rnacentral:rRNA from 1 species